GAUGAAGAACGUAGUGAAAUGCGAUAAGUAAUGUGAAUUGCAGAAUUCAGUGAAUCAUCGAAUCUUUGAACGCACAUUGCGCCCCCUGGUAUUCCGGGGGGCAUGCCUGUUCGAGCGUCAUUUCACCACUCAAGCCUCGCUUGGUAUUAGGCAACGCGGUCCGCCGCGUGCCUCAAAUCGACCGGCUGGGUCUUCUGUCCCCUAAGCGUUGUGGAAACUAUUCGCUAAAGGGUGUUCGGGAGGCUACGCCGUAAAACAACCCCAUUUCUAAGGUUGACCUCGGAUCAGGUAGGGAUACCCGCUGAACUUAAGCAUAUCAAUAAGCGGAGGA
rnacentral:misc_RNA from 1 species